rnacentral:lncRNA from 1 species
GCUAUCGCGCCUGGCCUACUUUUUGUAUUUUUAGUAGAGAAAGGGUUUCACAAUGUCAGCCAGGCUGGUCUUGAACUCCUGACCUCAGGCGAUCCACCCGCCUCGGCCUCCCCAAGUGCUGGGAUUACAGGCGUAAGCCACUGCACCCAGGUAUUUUUCUUUUUUAACGGUAUCUUUUGUAGUUGUAAAUAUAUCAGAAAAGGCUGAGCUGGCUGUGGUCGGCGUGCUGUAAAGGGGUAGAAAGUUCAGCAUUGCCCCUGAGAGUGAGGCUCCCAGCCUCCCUCUCUAGGGAGGAGUUCUUUUUCUUCUGUCAGGCCUUUUGGCUCUGUAAAACUAAAGCACAAAUUUUCAUCCAGAAAGGGG